rnacentral:misc_RNA from 1 species
GAUGAAGAACGCAGCGAAAUGCGAUAAGUAAUGUGAAUUGCAGAAUUCAGUGAAUCAUCGAAUCUUAGAACGCACAUUGCGCCCGCCAGUAUUCUGGCGGGCAUGCCUGUCCGAGCGUCAUUUCAACCCUCGAACCCCUCCGGGGGGUCGGCGUUGGGGACCUCGGGAGCCCCUAAGACGGGAUCCCGGCCCCGAAAUACAGUGGCGGUCUCGCCGCAGCCUCUCCUGCGCAGUAGUUUGCACAACUCGCACCGGGAGCGCGGCGCGUCCACGUCCGUAAAACACCCAACUUCUGAAAUGUUGACCUCGGAUCAGGUAGGAAUACCCGCUGAACUUAAGCAUAUCAAUAAGCGGAGGA